rnacentral:rRNA from 1 species
GCGGUUAAAGAUGAGUAUGCGCCUGAUUAGCUAGUUGGUGAGGUAACGGCUCACCAAGGCGACGAUCAGUAGGGGAUCUGAGAGGACUACCCCCCACACGGAUACUGAGACACGGAUCCG